GCCAGGGUGGUCUAGUGAUUUGAGCAUUGGACUAGGAAUCUGGAGACUAGGGUUCAAAUCCCGGCUUGGCCA